rnacentral:misc_RNA from 1 species
GUUUAAGUUUUAUAGGCUGCAAUGAAGCUGCCAUUGAUUUCAUUCGUUUACAUGCUUAUGGUGUAGAUGUAAAGACAUAAACCUGAAGGCCAGGAAGAGUCGAACGACAGCUUCCAAAAACCACAGACAAAAGAGUCUGUGAAGGUGCCUCCAGAUCUACAAAGUGUUCACAGGUGGUAAGAUAAAAGUGACCGGCGUGCACAUGCUCCCGAGAGAGCCAGCAACAACCAAGCCAGGUUUAUUCUGUAAUGAUCCUUCCGCAGGUUCACCUACGGAAA